rnacentral:rRNA from 1 species
GUGCCAGCAGCCGCGGUAAUACGGGGGGGGCAAGCGUUGUUCGGAAUUACUGGGCGUAAAGGGCUCGUAGGUGGCCAACUAAGUCAGACGUGAAAUCCCUCAGCUUAACUGGGGAACUGCGUCUGAUACUGGAUGGCUUGAGUUUGGGAGAGGGAUGCGGAAUUCCAGGUGUAGCGGUGAAAUGCGUAGAUAUCUGGAGGAACACCGGUGGCGAAGGCGGCAUCCUGGACCAACACUGACACUGAGGAGCGAAAGCCAGGGGAGCAAACGGGAUUAGAUACCCCGGUAGUCC